GUCCACGCCCUAAACGAUGGCAACUGGGUGUUGGGGAGCGAUUCCUCAGUACCGUAGCUAACGCGUGAAGUUGCCCGCCUGGGGAGUACGGCCGCAAGGUUAAAACUCAAAGGAAUUGACGGGGACCCGCACAAGCGGUGGAUGAUGUGGAUUAAUUCGAUGCAACGCGAACAACCUUACCUACCCUUGACAUGUCCGGAACCCCACUGAGAGGUGGGGGUGCCCGAAAGGGAAUCGGGAACACAGGUGCUGCAUGGCUGUCGU
rnacentral:rRNA from 1 species